rnacentral:lncRNA from 10 species
GUAACUCCGGCGGGCGUGUUGGGUGUGUCGUUUUAGGCUCUGUGACCCAGGAGCAAGACGCAAUAAGCGGGUGCAGUGGAGGUAGAAACGGGAAAUGCAGUACCCUUUCCGGAAGCUACUCCGCCCCUCGGUGAGUGUUAGAUUCCCCCCCCGAACUACAAUUCCCAGAAUGCUGUUCGAGCAUGCCCGAAGGCGGAACCAGAGUGUCGCCAUGCAACUGUUCCUUGGUUGUUUCCGAUUGGUUGCCCGGACUUCUCGCGGCUAAACUAAUUUUGGCUCCAAGGCGGCGUGAAGAGUGUGAUUCUGUUCAGCGACCGUGAUUCUGUUCAGCGACCAUGAUGUUGAGCCCCUAAUUGAGAGUCUGUUACCACUAUUAAUAGCUACUCUGUUCGGGCCCUACACAUAACGGUGUAUCUAAACCUCUCUACAAUUUUAUGUAGAUCCACCAACAGCUUGCACUGUGCGCCUGGAAAAGCCACAGACACUCAACACCAGCCUGUGAAAGCAACUGGAGGAAGGGAGGUUGUACCCUGCAAAGCCACAGGGGUGGAGCUGCCCAAGACCAUGGGAACCCACCUCUUGCAUCAGCGUGAUUUGGAUGUGAGACCUGGAGUCAAAGGAGAUCAUUUUGGAACUUUAAAAUUUGAUUGCCACUGGAUUUCGGAUUUGCACGGGCCCUGUAACCCCUUUGUUUUGUCCAAUUUCUACCAUUUGGAAUGGCUGUAUUUACCCAAUACCAGUACACCCAUUGUAUCUAGAAAGUAACUAGCUUGCUUUUGAUUUUACAGGCUCAUAGGCGAAAGGGACUUGCCUUGUCUCAGAUGAGACUUUGGACUGUGGACUUUUGGGUUAAUGCUGAAAUGAGUUAAGACUUUCACGGACUGUUGGGAAUGAGGCCCUGGCUACAGUGAUUGGAUCCAUCUGGGAACCUGUGGUGAUAAGGAAGAUGUGAGCCUGGAGAUACAGAAGCUACCACAUGAAUGUUAAAAAUGAAGCUGACGCAGCAAAAGGCAGUGCCAAGGAACUAAAAGAAAACAAAUUUUGAUUACAUUUUUGGAGUUCCUGGGUCAAGCAGUUCAUGACACUGAGGCUUUUCCGCUACAUGAAUAAGUACUUUUUCUUUCCCGUUAAAGUGGGUUUGUGCUGGCUUCUCUAUCACUCACAACAACUGGAUACUAACUGAGGCAACACUUCCUACCUCUUACACACAUUACACCCAUAAAACAGAAACAACAUCUAAAAUUAGAUUUCAACACAGCUACCAAGCAGAAAAGUUCAAAUCAACAAGUUAUGGAUAAUGUUUUAUUGAAACUACAUUUCUCCUCCCAAUGUGAGUAUGGUGUUGGCCAACAUGUUGCGUGUUGAUUCUGCUUGCCUUUGUGUCCUACAUAUAGGAUGUGUACUGUGUAAUGAAUCGUUUCUUCAUUAUUUUUCUCAGCUUGCAUGGUUGCCUCCCUCACCUCCAUUCACAGAGCUCACUGUGACAGCAUUCAACCUUGUCUUGGUACAAGUGUGUAAUUUACAUAAUAGUCGCCUCUGUACUUUCCUCAGUAACUUAAACAAAGAAGACCAUCACUCACUGUGCUUGCCUUUCAAAUUAGAUUUGAUAUCAAAUUAAAGUCUCA